rnacentral:rRNA from 1 species
UACGUAGGUGACAAGCGUUGUCCGGAUUUACUGGGCGUAAAGAGCGCGCAGGCGGUCGAUCAAGUCGAGUGUGAAAGCCCCCGGCUCAACUGGGGAGGGUCAUUCGAUACUGAUCGACUCGAAGGCAGGAGAGGGUAGUGGAAUUCCCGGUGUAGCGGUGAAAUGCGCAGAUAUCAGGAGGAACACCAGUGGCGAAGGCGGCUCACUGGCCCGGUACUGACGCUGAGGUGCGAAAGCGUGGGGAGCAAACAGG